rnacentral:rRNA from 1 species
GAUGAACGCUGGCGGCGUGCCUAAUACAUGCAAGUCGAGCGAACAGAUGAGGAGCUUGCUCCUCUGACGUUAGCGGCGGACGGGUGAGUAACACGUGGAUAACCUACCUAUAAGACUGGGAUAACUUCGGGAAACCGGAGCUAAUACCGGAUAAUAUCUUGAACCGCAUGGUUCAAUAGUGAAAGACGGUUUUGCUGUCCCUUAUAGAUGGAUCCGCGCCGCAUUAGCUAGUUGGUAAGGUAACGGCUUACCAAGGCAACGAUGCGUAGCCGACCUGAGAGGGUGAUCGGCCACACUGGAACGGAGACACGGUCCAGACUCCUACGGGAGGCAGCAGUAGGGAAUCUUCCGCAAUGGGCGAAAGCCUGACGGAGCAACGCCGCGUGAGUGAUGAAGGUCUUCGGAUCGUAAAACUCUGUUAUUAGGGAAGAACAAAUGUGUAAGUAACUAUGCACGUCUUGACGGUACCUAAUCAGAAAGCCACGGCUAACUACGUG